AUCCAACAGUUGGUUAGCGUGCGACGCUCUCAGAGAUCCAACAGUUGGUUAGUGUGCAACGCUCUCCUCCUCUCCUCUUUGUUUCUCCUCAGUUGUAAUCUGUGUUCCGUGACUGUGUGUGUUUUGGGUUGUUGUGCCCAGUCCCCCAACACAGCCCCCCACACAGACUGAACUGGGUUCAAAAGGCUAUGAUGCAGAAUGAUUGAUACCCCACUGAGAGACAGGAGUAGCGUGUGUCUCUGUCGACUAGAUCAAAGAACUGAGGUCAACAAGUCCAUUGGAAUAAAGGGGCCAUUCUACUACAGCAGAUGGCACAUGGAAACAUGUUUCAGUAGUGGUUUACUCAGAGAUUUGGACUUUACAUUCUCAGAGACUCAAAGCUAGUGUCUGACACUACAACAUUAGCUACACUACUUCAUCUUCCUUUCAGAGGCAUCAGGCGUUUUACAUAAUAGACUUAAAUCCAGUCUUCUAGUUGACCGUCCGUCUGUUUCUCAUCACAGUGGAGGUCACAGAGAGCAUGGAAUGCAGGGCUAACCAAAAUGUUUGGAGAUCAAACCAGAGACAUCAAUAUAUUCCAAGGCAGACAGAGAGAGGGAGGGGGACAGGGUGCAUCCUGGGUACCUUCUGACGGAUGCCAGAGAGGUGGCAGCUCAGCACUCCUACCCAAUAAAAUAUUAUAAUUAAAUGAAUAGGGGUGUAAGUCACCACACACACUGUAGUGAGACACUUGAUUCUCUUCCAUCAAACUGCCUAAAGAGGUGCUGAGAUCCUCCGCAUAAAACAGACGACGGGUCCUCAUGAACGAGUCUAGCCGAGGUAGCCGAGGAUGUGCCCGACUCAAACCUCAAAACAUCACACAUGCUUGAUGUUUCUAUAUUCCCAACCCUUCAUAUUUCAGACAGUAAUCAUACCCAAUGAACUGAACCAUCAGAAUAAGUCAGAGAAGAGAAUGUUUCGACUGAAUCUAAAACAGAAGAUGGUAUCUCUACUGUAACUAUAGGGAGGGGGCUAACUACAUAUGCUGUUAAUUUGUUCACAAUGUUCCUGCUAAAAAUAUAGGCCAUGUAUAGUAAAUAAUUUAUGUAGAACUUAAUGAAAUAUGAUGCAUUGCCCAAGUCACUAGAAUGACUCUGCUAUGACUCAACUCUGCUCCAUGGAGUGUUCUGAUGUUCCUGGCCUCUCUCUCCUGUCACCUGUCUGGCUACUGGCUACAGCCCCUGUUCCACCUGCCACUCUGGGCCAAUGGCCAGUCAGAAGUCAGACUUGGCCUCGGUCCCAGGCUCUAGUCCUGGACACCACAUCACACAGUCACAGCUGACAGAACAGCCGAAAGGCACACAGCAGCUUUACAGCCAAUCCCCUGCUUAAAGUCUGCUGCUCUAGUCUGCAAUUCCACAGGUUUCCAUCCAACCUCUCUGGUGCCAGGAACAAACCCUGGUAUGGAGAUGUCAUCUGGGCUGCGGCUGCUCCCUCUCAUCUCUGGCUCUGCUCUAGGAUUCUGUGCCUCUUGACUUCCUUUCUCUAUUGUUCUCUCACUCUAGUCUUCCCCUCUCUCGUCUCGCUCUCUCUCCCCCCCUUCUGUCCACCUGGUCUCUAGUGUAACAUGAGUGGGCUCCCUGCCAUCACCACUGUGUAAACAGAUAGCAGGAAGUUCCCCAAGUGAAAACUAAACCUGGUCCAAGAUAAUGCAGGAGGACACCCAACACUAACUCACUCAUCCCAGUCACACUGACUGGCACCAGGGCAACACUCAGUCCUGACCAUUACUACCCACAGCACCCAACAUAAUAAUAAUAAUGAGCUAGUGUUAGUGCUGUAUACUUGUACUGGUAAUUUCAGGCAGAAGAGACCAGUUGAAAAGGAGUGUGCAGUGUUUCUAAAUAUUGAACUGUGUUAUUUCCAACCGAGCAUGCAGCCUGCAGGUAAAACAGUUUGAAAGAGUAGGAAAAAAAAGUGACAGUUCUAAUUCCAGAGUUCCUGAACUUGGUCGCCACCUGCUGGUUACAGUCUGCCACUGCAGGGGUGGACAGGUAAUGCAUAAAUCAACAUAAAUCAGAUCAAGAGGAAGGAUGCGAACUUCUAUAAACCUAUCGAACUCACAUUAAAGAGGACAACCAUAUCCCAAUAAGCAAAAGGCCAUUGAAAAUACAUAUUUCACAACUAUUUUUCAGACAUUGACAUCAGGUACAUUUUAGGUGAUGAAAAUAUGGAUCUUCCGGACAUUGAAAAUAACCCAUUUUCUGGACGUUGAAAUCAGGUGCAUUUGAAAAUACUUAUUUUUUCGAUCAUUGAUUCCAUGGCCAAAUUUCAACUGAUAUACAUUCUCAAUUAUAAUAAGUAAGCAUUAUAUUACAGUUAUCACAAGACUUGUCUGAAGGUCCCAUGGUACCAGUUGAAAGAAACGAACGGAGGUAUGGAGACUGUUUAGUGACAAGAAUAAGGGGUUAAAUACAUGUAAAAAAUCCUGAUCUUUCAUAAAUCUCUCAGAUAUUGGACAGACACUUCAGAACAAACUUCCUUUUGAUCUGUUGUUCCGUGUAGUGAAUCUAUUAUUCGAUGCAUUUGAAUAUGCUAAUAGCAGUAAGGUCCCCCAAAAAAUUCAUCCAAUCAUAUUUUUCUUCUGUUUUUUUUUUUAUUCUUCAAGGGGUCUUAAAAUUCAAAAAUCAAACAGCCAAAUGAUCCUUAGUAGAACCCCCACCCUCUGGCUUAGACAGGUUUUAAUAGGAAAGAGGAACCAAUUGUAGAUCGCAACAAAAUAUUUAUCUAUCACAUGCAGUAAGUUCCUCUGGAUAAGAGCGUCUGCUGAAUGACCAAAAUGUAAAUGUAAAAACAAAAACACUUGCAAAGCAUUCUGGAUAUUAUUCUAAUGAGCUCCGCCCCCAAACAAGUACAAAUUUGGCCGGUGCGGACCAGAUCCAAAUCUGAACGAAUCAUAGACGUCUAGGCUGUUUCACAAGUUUGAACAUCACAGUACAGUACGGCACAGUUUAGCACAGUAGAGUACGGUAGUUUUAUUCAGUCGAGUACAAUACAGUAGAGUUGAAUUAGAGUAGAGUACAGUAAUUCAGUACAUUAGAGUACACUACAGUAAAGUAUAGUUUAAUUCAGUACAAUACAUGUUAAUUCAGUAGAGUACAGUACAGUAUAGUUUAAUUCAGUAGAGUACAUGUUAAUUCAGUACAGUACAGUAUAGUUUAAUUCAGUAGAGUACAAUAGAGUACACUAUACUUUACUGUACUAAGUUACUGUACACUGCUGUCCAAACCUGUGAAACAUAGAUGUCUAUGAUUGGUUCAGAUUUGGUCCGGACCAAAAUUCAACAUCCCUGGGGGAUGAAAUUUAAAAAAUAUUUUUGAAAGACUGAGGACCGAAAAGAGAUGUCCAGAAGACAUCAAAACGCUUACUGGGAUGCUGUUUUAAGGGCAGUGGGGAUACAGGCCUAACAGUCAUAUUAUGCCAAUAAGUCCCUCCAAUGAUCUACUCUACUUAACCUAUACAGGUGCUCAUUCUCACAUAACCUACAGCAUACACAUUCACUAAGUUUAAUUCUCAUUGAUGGCAUGGCAGUAUUGAUCAAUCCAGAUCGGAGAUCUACCUGUAUCCCCCAUAUAAAAAGGUACUGUCCAUCUUGACUGUCUCCCAAACAAAAUCAACAAUAACCACAAACAUUCAUCCCACCACUCAAAAAUCACAAACCACCACUCCCCUUCCAGUAUCCUGAAGAAUACGUUUCCAUCCCCUACUUUCUCAUUUUAAUCAAGGACCCUUACCAUAAACCUGGUUGGUAGUUGGUAUCUUCUACCCAACCCUACCCUUUAAACCUAAACCAGGAUCAUAUCCUCUACCCAACCCUUCCCCUUGAACCAGGAUCAUAUCCUCUAUCCAACCCUUCCCCUUGAACCAGGAUCAUAUCCUCUACCCAACCCUUCCCCUUGAACCAGGUUAAUAUCCUCUAUCCAACCCUUCCCUUUAAACCAGGAUCAUAUCCUCUAUCCAACCCUUCCCUUUAAACCAGGUUAAUAUCCUCUAUCCAACCCUUCCCUUUAAACCAGGAUCAUAUCCUCUAUCCAACCCUUCCCUUUAAACCAGGUUAAUAUCCUCUACCCAACCCUUCCCUUUAAACCAGGUUAAUAUCCUCUAUCCAACCCUUCCCUUUAAACCAGGUUAAUAUCCUCUAUCCAACCCUUUAUUUUAUUUUAUAUUUUUUUUACUUUUACUUCUUUACAUUUUUUAAUCCAUUAAAGUUUGUUUUAAUCAAAUCAAAUCAAGUCGAAGUAUAAAAAUGAGAACUCCAUCACCCUUGUACCGUUACCUUGCCAAAACCUUCACCAUACAUGCAGAAGAGGGUUAGAAGAGGAAGUCCUGAGGUGUCCCUGCCAGUCCCAGAGCUCUCAACUGUCUCCCUACUCCAUUAGUCUCUGUCAUCAAACACGUUUAGAUUGUUGUUUUUUGUUGACAUUUUGACAGUAUAUCAAUAUGUCCCCUCUAAAAGAUACAAAGGACAAGGUCAAAGGACAUACGGGGUUGCCCGAGUCCCUGAAACCGCCAACGUCUCACCUCUCUCCGGAACGCUGCGGUCGCACACCUAAAACCAAUCCCGGAGACAGUCUGGACAGCCUAUGCUACUGCUCUGGUGUUGCAUCGCUAUUUCGGUAUAUAUUAUAUCUAUUUAUAACAAGGCACGGUAUCAUUCGACAAUUUUAUAUCAUGGCUACAGACGGAGUUGACAACCACCACUAACGUUAGGCAAAUCAAGUCAAUAAGCUACACAGCGGACGUUUAUAAAAGGUACCCACGUGUAUGGUCGCUGUCUUCCUCUGGCGGUGCGCUACAACAUGCCACAAAGAUAAUAUAUAGGUGCUCCAACACGCACUGGAAAAUUAUAUCAACAUCUUUGUUUCAAUCCUUCUUGGUUAAUAGAAAGUUGGCAAAGGUAGACAGUAACACUGAAGCUGUCCCGAAAGGGUCCGUGUCUGUCUGAGUAUGCGAGUGGAGUACGGAUGUGUAAACGGAGCCGACUCCGAGGAUGUCACGACUCGUGGAUGUUUCCUCUUGUUGACUUGAGUUCGCAGCGCCAGCUGCAACUGUAUCUAGUCGAGUCCGCGUAACACAAGCGUCUGCAAGUGUCUGUGGAAUGUGUGUAGACUAGAGUGUGUGUGUUUGUGCGCGCACCGUAGUAUUUCCACCGGUCUGUCUGUGCUGAGAGUGCAUGGAGAAA
ensembl:lncRNA